UUUCAGCAGCUGUCCCUCUUCCAUCCCCCAGCCUGGCUCUUCUCACAUUACUCCCCCCUGCUCUCUAUCCCUAAACCCCCAGUCUCACUGUGCAGCUCGGACUAUGUCCCCACCCUUGAGAUCACCCUCCCUCUCGGGGCUUUGAGUGUGCAUGCUCCCGUCAGAUUCAGGUCUUACCCUACCUUUAGGUGUGACUGGACUGCUCCGGCGUCUGAGGCAAGAUCAGAAGGUUAACCAGGCCCAGAGAGGAGUGUAAAUCCAUGACUUCUGGCCUGUCACCAUGGCGUACAGAUCACGCUUCUCCUUCUGGGAGCAAAAGGCUAAAGUUGAGAACAAAGCAGAAGUAAGUUGUCUUUCAGAUGCAUGUGUUGCCAGCACGUAUUCAUUUAAUGUCUGCUUGGUUAAAUAUAACAAUGAGCUAUAUUGAAAUAAUUUGGAGUGGUU